GACGAACGCUGGCGGCGUGCUUAACACAUGCAAGUCGAACGGAAAGGCCUGCUUUCCCUUGUGGAUUGCGGGUGCUCGAGUGGCGAACGGGUGAGUAACACGUGAGUGAUCUGCCCCCAACUUGGGUAUAAGCCUGGGAAACUGGGUCUAAUUCCCGAUAGGACUGCAGGGUGGUGCCUGUGGUGGAAAACGAUUUUCUAGUGGUUGGGGAUGAGCUCGCGGCCUAUCAGCUUGUUGGUGGGGUAAUGGCCUACCAAGGCGGCGACGGGUAGCCGGCCUGGGAGGGUGGACGGCCACAUUGGGACUGAGAUACGGCCCAGACUCCUACGGGAGGCAGCAGUGGGGAAUAUUGCACAAUGGGCGGAAGCCUGAUGCAGCGACGCCGCGUGGGGGAUGACGGCCUUCGGGUUGUAAACUCCUUUCGACCGCGAGGAAGCCACCUGGUUGGAAGGGUGGUGACGGUAGUGGUAGAAGAAGCACCGGCUAACUACGUG
rnacentral:rRNA from 1 species